UGUCUUUGAACGGGGUAUGGUGGUAGGUGCCUUUGAACGGGGUAUGGUAGUAGGUGUCUUUGAACGGGGUAUGGCAGUAGGUGGUAGUAUGGUAUGGUAGUAGGUGUCUUUGAAUGGGGUAUGGUAGUAGGUGGUAGUAUGGUAUGGUAGUAGGUGUCUUUGAACGGGGUAUGGUUGUAGGUGGUAGUAUGGUAUGGUAGUAGGUGCCUUUGAACGGGGUAUGGUAGUAGGCGUCUUUGAACGGGGUAUGGUGGUAGUAUGGUAUGGAAGUAGGUGUCUUUGAACGGGGUGUGGUAGUAGGUGGUAGUAUGGUAUGGUAGUAGGUGUCUUUGAACGGGGUAUGGUAGUAGGUGUCUUUGAACGGGGUAUGGUAGUAGGUGUCUUUGAACGGGGUAUGGUAGUUGGUGUCUUUGAACGGGGUAUGGUAGUAGGUGUCUUUGAACGGGGUAUGGUAGUAGGUGUCUUUGUAGUAUGGUAUGGUAGUUGCAGUCUUUGAACGGGGUAUGGUAGUAGGUGUCUUUGAACGGGGUAUGGUAGUAGGUGUCUUUGAACGGGGUAUGGUAGUUGGUGUCUUUGAACGGGGUAUGGUAGUAGGUGUCUUUGAACGGGGUAUGGUAGUAGGUGUCUUUGAACGGGGUAUGGUAGUUGGUGUCUUUGAACGGGGUAUGGUAGUAGGUGUAUUUGUAGUAUGGUAUGGUAGGAGGUGUCUUUGAACAGGGUAUGGUAGUAGGUGUCUUUGAACGGGGUAUGGUAGUAGGUGUCUUUGAACGGGGUAUGGUAGUAGGCGUCUUUGAACGGGGUAUGGUAGUAGGUGUCUUUGAACGGGGUAUGGUAGUAGGUGGUAGUAUGGUAUGGUAGUAGGUGCCUUUGAACGGGGUAUGGUAGUAGGUGCCUUUGAACGGGGUAUGGUAGUAGGUGGUAGUAUGGUAUGGUAGUAGGUGUCUUUGAACGGGGUAUGGUAGUAGGUGUCUUUGAACGGGGUAUGGUAGUAGGUGUCUUUGAACGGGGUAUGGUAGUAGGUGGUAGUAGGUGGUAGUAGGUGGUAGUAUGGUA